rnacentral:misc_RNA from 1 species
GUGCUGACGGAUACUCCCAGUCUGGUUCAGGAUGGCUGAUCUGUCAGUCAAACGGAGAGUGGAAAUACAACAUUGUCUGUGAAGUUACAGUUCCAUUGGAGCUUGCAUUUGGUAAACCUGCUGAACAAUCGUCAACGUAUUCAACACAUGGGGCCGAGUUUGCAGUAGAUGGUAACAGAGGUACAGACCUUAUCCUAGACAACUGUGCACACACAGGUGAUGGCGACACAAAUCCGUGGAUGGUGGAUCUACAGGCUGUGUAUUCCAUCAAGUCUGUCAGAAUAAUCAACAGAGGAAUGGAUGAGUACGAAACGGAUGUGUCAUUCCGGCUGCGAGAUGUUACCGUCACUGUAGGGCUGACAGAAUUUGAUGUCAACACUCCCUGUGGAUUCUUUGCUGGUCCCGGUACUCUGUCACAGCUGGUGGUCAUCGACUGUCCGACGUCACCAUAGGGGAGAUUCGUAAAGAUCUCCAAGACAACUGAGUAUCUCACUCUUUGUGAAGUUGACGUGUUUGGAUUUCCCCUUUAAUCCUUAUCAUAGCAUAAGUCAUAGAUUUAGGAUAACGUUUACUCAGAAUUUGAAUUUUAAUUUUUUUUUUUUCAAAGUUCAAUACUGUAGACAUUGAAAACAUUACGGUGUUUUAAUUUCACUAUCUUCACAGUUUGACAAUUUCCGUGAACAUUAAGCCACCGUAAAUAUUAUCUGUGUAUUUGCAAUAUCCGUGUAUGCCGCCAUUACAUAUGAUUUUAAUAGAUGUGUGCAUGAGUGGGGCCUAAAUUACCACUUCCCUAUCGCAAUUAUAGCACCUCUGUAAAUGCAAGCAUAUAUUUUAUGAUAAUAUAAAUAUUAUGUAUGAUGAUUAAUGUAAAUUAAAAAACUAAUUAUAACUAAUUAUAACGGAACAUUCGAAACCAUUUUUGUGAGGAAGUGUGCUAAUUGUCACUUGUUAUUUUGGACAUCUCCAAAGAUUUCGCUUACACCCUGCGGGCGGUGCCGGACAUCUCAUCAUGUCUUUAGACCUACAUGGAAUAUUUUGAAAGAUGUUUCAUUGGCAGAUACAAGAGUAGUAUUAAAAGCGGCAAACUGUCUUUGAAAUGGAAGGAACCUUGCUAUUCCAUCGAAUGCUUGUCAAUAUAUGAGCGUGUCUUGGCACAUGACCCUUUCUUGAGGGUUUGCAUAGACGGUUUUCGUGUGUCGUCACACCCCGAUAUUUAUAAGUUCCUCACGUCGCUGAAAGGUGAACAAGCACGAACCGAAAUGAUCAUCGGUGCCCUAGUCCGAGGCGAGGAACCUAAUGGGCUCCGAAAAAAAUAAAUUGCAAAAAAAAACAAAAAGAUUUACUCGAUCAUUUCAACAUUUAAGAACGAGUCGCGAAAGGCAAUUAUUUACUAUACCUUGAAGGGCUAGCACACAAUAUAAGGUAUUAAUGUAAAUGUUAAUCAGUGCGAAUAUAAAUAAAUUUGUUGAUACAU